GCCGGCCCGCCCCGAACCGCCCCGCGCUGGGAAUUUGCGGCGGCCUCCGCCGGGGCAGCCGAGCUGAACCGGUCUCUUCCUCGGAAAGGCAGGGCCGAGGGGCCUGCGGGGCAGCCAUGGAGGCGACGCGGAGGCGGCAGCACCUGGGAGCGACGGGCGGCCCAGGCGCGCAGCUGGGCGCCUCCUUCCUGCAGGCCAGCUGGUAUUCCCUCUCGAGUGGUUUCCACUCAACAAGCCCAGUGUUGGGGACUACUUCCACAUGGCCUACAACGUCAUCACGCCCUUUCUCUUGCUCAAGAUCGACUCCUUUGAGCUGCUCUACUAUUAUGAUGAGUACCUGGGUCACUGCAUGUGGUACAUCCCCUUCUUCCUCAUCCUCUUCAUGUACUUCAGCGGCUGCUUUACUGCCUCUAAAGCUGAGAGCUUGAUUCCAGGGCCUGCC
rnacentral:lncRNA from 1 species